rnacentral:lncRNA from 1 species
CAGAAGCCAAAAAGGCAUGAUACUUCUUGGCAAGCUUCUUCACCAACUUCUUAUUCUUGUUUAGUUUCUUCAAUGCUUCCACAUCCAUAUAAUCCAAACCUAUCUUCUCUGCCUGCAGAACAAGUAAACAAUUUAUGUUGGCCCUUUUUGACCAAAGUCCAAAAAAUACAUUAUAUCAAAUUACAAAGAUUUAUGCUGAAUAUCAAAGUCCAAACAAUUUAAGUUGACAUUCUUAUAGGAAAUAUAAACAAAGUUUCACAUAAGAAAGCUGCAAAAUCACCUCUUCAACAUGUUGAGCAUCUCCAAGCAUGCAAAUCUUCAUUUUGGGGCGAGGAAUAUGUGGAAGCUUCACAGACCC